rnacentral:lncRNA from 1 species
UAGUGUUAUACUCCCAGCAGUAGACACGAAUAACAUUGAAUCAAGUUUAUCAAGUAAUACAUUAAAAUUGGAUGCAAAAACAGGUGAAACAAAUGAAUGCGAUGCACCAGUGUCAAUCAAAACAUGAGCAAGAUGGUUACAGAUAGUAUACAUACCUUGUACCACGUCUAGGUCGGCGUCGGCAUCCUGCUGGGUGAGGUUGUA